ensembl:snRNA U6 U6 spliceosomal RNA
GUGCUCGCUUCGGCAGCACAUAUACUAAAAUUGGAACGAUACAGAGAAGAUUAGCAUGGCCCCUGCGCAAGGGUGACACGCAAAACAGUGUGGUAUUGGCAUAAAAA